rnacentral:rRNA from 1 species
GGCAGACGGGUGAGUAACAUGUAGGUAUCUACCCUUUGGCCUGGAAUAACACGAGGAAACUUGUGCUAAUACCGGAUAAGUCUUUACAGAGAAAGCUUUAUGCACCAUUGGAUGAGCCUGCACUUGAUUAGUUUGUUGGUGGGGUAAUGGCCUACCAAGACUUUGAUCAAUAGCUGAUUUGAGAGGAUGAUCAGCCACAUUGGGACUGAGACACGGCCCAAACUCCUACGGGAGGCAGCAGUGGGGAAUCUUGCACAAUGGAGGAAACUCUGAUGCAGCGAUGCCGCGUGAGUGAAGAAGGCCUUUGGGUUGUAAAGCUCUUUCUUCGGGGAAGAAAAUGACUGUACCCGAAUAAGAAGGUCCGGCUAACUUCGUGCCAGCAGCCGCGGUAAUACGAAGGGACCUAGCGUAGUUCGGAAUUACUGGGCUUAAAGAGUUCGUAGGUGGUUGAAAAAGUUGGUGGUGAAAUCCCAGAGCUUAACUCUGGAACUGCCAUCAAAACUUUUCAGCUAGAGUUUGAUAGAGGAAAGCAGAAUUUCUAGUGUAGAGGUGAAAUUCGUAGAUAUUAGAAAGAAUACCAAUUGCGAAGGCAGCUUUCUGGAUCAUUACUGACACUGAGGAACGAAAGCAUGGGUAGCGAAGAGGAUUAGAUACCCUCGUAGUCCAUGCCGUAAACGAUGUGUGUUAGACGUUGGAAAUUUAUUUUCAGUGUCACAGCGAAAGCGAUAAACACAC